rnacentral:rRNA from 1 species
UACGUAGGGGGCUAGCGUUGUCCGGAAUCAUUGGGCGUAAAGCGCGUGUAGGCGGUCCGGUAAGUCCGCUGUGAAAAGUCGGGGGGCUCAACCCUCGAAUGCCGAUGGAUACUGUCGGGCUAGAGUGCGGAAGAGGCGAGUGGAAUUCCUGGUGUAGCGGUGAAAUGCGCAGAUAUCAGGAGGAACACCAAUUGCGAAGGCAGCUCGCUGGGACGUUACUGACGCUGAGACGCGAAAGCGUGGGGAGCAAACAGG